UAAGGAAUAUUGGUCAAUGGACGCAAGUCUGAACCAGCCAUGCCGCGUGGAGGAUGAAGGUCCUCUGGAUUGUAAACUUCUUUUAUCUGGGACGAAACACUUCUUUUCUAAGAGGCCUGACGGUACCAGAUGAAUAAGCACCGGCUAACUCCGUGCCAGCAGUCGCGGUAAUACGGAGGGUGCAAGCGUUAUCCGGAUUCACUGGGUUUAAAGGGUGCGUAGGUGGGUAUGUAAGUCAGUGGUGAAAUCCCCGAGCUUAACUUGGGAUCUGCCAUUGAUACUAUAUAUCUUGGAUACCGUAGAGGUAAGCGGAAUAUGUCAUGUAGCGGUGAAAUGCUUAGAUAUGACAUGGAACACCAAUUGCGAAGGCAGCUUACUAUGCGGUGAUUGACACUGAGGCACGAAAGCGUGGGUAGCAAAC
rnacentral:rRNA from 1 species